AAAGUCGUAACAAGGUUUCCGUAGGUGAACCUGCGGAAGGAUCAUUAACACGUAUCCAACGUUAAACCCCCCCGUGAAUAUUAAGCGUGCUCUUACAUCCUUGCACAACAGCAAUCUCUGGUAAAUCAUGUCGAACGGUUUGAUUCAGAGACCUCUGGCUUGUGCGAUGACGGCGGAAGCUAAAGGUGUAAUCGAGCGCUAGGUUCAGUGGUUUGGUCUUCCCCUCAAACCACUUCAAUGAAUGUCAGUGUCAUUGAAGUGUGAUGGGGAAGUCGCUUAACGACGCUGUAGGCUCACACGAGCCGGCGUCCAAAUCACCAGGCGCAAGCCUCCCUAAAACCACAUGUCAGCGUAGGCCCUUCUGUCGUGGUUGGGCGUAAAAACGAACAACUGUUAACAAUGGAUAUCUUGGUUCUC
rnacentral:misc_RNA from 1 species